rnacentral:rRNA from 1 species
GAGUGAACGCUGGCGGUAGGCCUAACACAUGCAAGUCGAACGGCAGCACAGUAAGAGCUUGCUCUUACGGGUGGCGAGUGGCGGACGGGUGAGGAAUACAUCGGAAUCUACUUUUUCGUGGGGGAUAACGUAGGGAAACUUACGCUAAUACCGCAUACGACCUACGGGUGAAAGCAGGGGAUCUUCGGACCUUGCGCGAUUGAAUGAGCCGAUGUCGGAUUAGCUAGUUGGCGGGGUAAAGGCCCACCAAGGCGACGAUCCGUAGCUGGUCUGAGAGGAUGAUCAGCCACACUGGAACUGAGACACGGUCCAGACUCCUACGGGAGGCAGCAGUGGGGAAUAUUGGACAAUGGGCGCAAGCCUGAUCCAGCCAUACCGCGUGGGUGAAGAAGGCCUUCGGGUUGUAAAGCCCUUUUGUUGGGAAAGAAAAGCAGCAGGUUAAUACCCCGCUGUUCUGACGGUACCCAAAGAAUAAGUACCGGCUAACUUCGUG